rnacentral:rRNA from 1 species
CCUACGGGAGGCAGCAGUGGGGGAUAUUGGGCAAUGGGCGCAAGCCUGACCCAGCAACGCCGCGUGAAGGAAGAAGGCCCUCGGGUUGUAAACUUCUGUUCUCAAGGACGAAACAAAUGACGGUACUUGAUGAAUCAGCCACGGCUAACGACGUGCCAGCCGCUGCGGUACUACGUAGGUGGCCAGCGUUAUCCGGAUUUACUGGGGGUAAAGGGCGUGUAGGCGGGUCUGGUAGUCAGAUGUGAAAACCAUGGGCUAAACCCAUGGCCUGCAAUUGAAACUGUCGUGCUUGAGUGUUGGAGAGGCAGGCGGAAUUCCCGGUGUAGCGGUGAAAUGCGUAGAGAUCCGGAGGAACACCAGUGGCGAAGGCGGCCUGCUGGACAAUAACUGACGCUGAGGCGCGAAAGCGUGGGUAGCAAACAGGAUUAGAUACCCUAGUAGUC